rnacentral:rRNA from 1 species
AUGGACAGCGAAGCACCCGAGAAAGUGCCAGCACUAGCUUCCAGCAGGGAGGGCAACAAAAAGCAAGUGACUAGCAGCAGAAAAGAGGAGCAAUCAGAAACCAAGACUGUCAUUCCUCCUAGAGGAAAAAGACAAAAGAGAAAGGACAAAACUCAACUCAUCAACGAUGGUGGUAGCUUGAAGCAGCAGCAGCCAAGUCCUCUAAUGAUAACCCCGCCAGCAGUUCCACGCGCCGACAAUGAUGUAAAUAAAGCUAAGAAGAAAAACAAAAGACAACGGUUGGAAGAAGACGAGGAUGAUGCCAGCAAAGAGUCAAAGCGUGAUACUCCCGACGACGAUGAUGGCACAAAACACGAUGAUGAUGUCAUUUGUACAGAGGGCGAUGGCGCCGCAGGGGACAACGGUGGUGCCGCAGAGGACGGAAACGAUGAUAUAAAAACAAGGCAGAAGCGCACAAAGAUAAGAAAGACAAGUGGAAAAGAAUUGGCAGCAGCAACGGAUGAUGAACAGGAGGCAACAACAAAUAAGGACAAAUGCGAGAUCAAGGCAGGAGCAGCAUUUGAUAAUGUCAAUAAAGCAUGGAAAUUACUUGAGGAACGUCACCGGCAAGAUGUUAGGGAAGCCGGGUUUGGAAGCAUAGAGGGAUGCCAAAUAAAGUGCUCCAUAUGCAAACCGCUUGCAGCACACAUGUAUGGCAAACUGGAAAUAGAAACCAUGAAAAUAAAGUUCGGUGAACCUGAUCAGCAGAAAGAAAUCAGAAUAACAAAGGAAGGCAUUCACAAGGUGUUUGGAUACCCAAACGGUACGGAAAAGACAGCACCAAGGCCAAAGAUUUCCACCGAGACAAUGACCGAACUGGUCACAGAACUUGGCCUCAAGAAAAUGGGUUUCCAUCAUGAUGAUCUAUUUAAAGAACUAGAAAAAUUGGUGAAACAAGAUGAUGAACAAUCAAACAGGAAAUCAGUUAAAAUAUUUUUCCUUAUUUUUUUCCACAAUAUUGUCUGUGGAACAACCUCCCCUACCUUCUGCAAACAAGCCAUUAUGGUCAAGGACUUGGACUAUCCAGAAGUGGCAAAGAUGGAUUUCUGCAAGGUAAUCGUCGAAAGUAUUAGGGAAGGAACAAAGACAUGGAAGAAGCACAGGUUGUUGCCACAGGAAGAAAAGAACAAAAAGCAUCUCAAUGGUUUGGCGCAAGGACCAGUAAUAAUGUACCUCGACUGCCUGCUGUUGCCGACCAACACAAAACAAAUGCGGAAGAUUGCCAACACAAUGGACAAGAUAUUUUUACCGCGAGCAAACCACCUAAAUGAGAGUUACCUAAGGAAAAUAGCUAGAGCAGACAUGAAAACGGACGGAAAAGCAUGA